UGUCUGCUAUAGGCUAUAGUGUUGUUACCUCUUCUCUUAUGCUGCUAUGUUCCGUGCAAAACAGGUCUCUUCAUCUAAUGUAAUGGAUGAUAAGUUGCCACUGAAUCUGAACCUGAGUAAUUUGUCUGGUUAAAAUUUGCUUCUGACUGGGCAGCACUACUGAAAUAUUGCAAAACGUGAUAGCAAGAUCAAGGGACACUACAUUGAGCGAGCCAGCUAAGGUUAAAGUCUCGAAAGUUUUUUAGGUUGGUGACAAGCCAUCUACUUCAUUCCAAGUUUCCACCGCUGCCGCGCCUGCUCGCGGUUCCCAGGCCUCCGGUGCCCC